CCAGCCGACCCGGCCCGGCUUGAUCACUGGUCCAGCAAUAGGUAAGCACGUGUGAAUUAUAAUUCACGCAUGCUCGCACAAUGACAAGUUAAUUAAAAUUGCAAAAACAAGGGAAAGAAAAGCUUACCUGGUUUGUUGGAGGCGAAGUCGAUGGCUAUGGAGCGCUGCUUUUAUAGGGCGAGAGAAUGCCCUGGUGAUUCGUCUGAUCUCUCCCAGGAUAACGAUCCUGGAGAUGAGGAUAAGCACGGUUUGUUCGUCCAUGUUUGAGGAAAACAAGGCACGACUGUUGGAGACGACCCAUCCUUACAUCGGAGAAGCACCGUGUGGGCGAGAGAAACUGAUGCCACUAGCAGGUUUGGUAGAAGAUAAAUUUGAUCCACAUUUUGGAUCAGAUUUAGUGCAGUUUUGGUUGAGCCGGUCUCCCCUAGGAUGAGAAAGAAGAGGAUGAAUAAUUGGUUUAGAAACGACGGCGUUUGUUUUCUAACUGAAAAUCUUUUUUUUAAUUUCGCUCCUGGAUUAAUGCAAUUGGGUUCCUGGAUUUCUGAGUCA